UGGGGAAUAUUGCACAAUGGGGGAAACCCUGAUGCAGCAACGCCGCGUGAGUGAAGAAGUAUUUCGGUAUGUAAAGCUCUAUCAGCAGGGAAAGAAAAUGACAGUACCUGACUAAGAAGCCCCGGCUAACUACGUGCC
rnacentral:rRNA from 1 species